AGGACGAACGCUGGCGGCGUGCCUAAUACAUGCAAGUCGAACGGUCUUUCUAUGGAAGCUUGCUCCACUGAGAAGAUAGUGGCGAACGGGUGAGUAACACGUGGGUAACCUGCCCAUAAGAGGGGGGAUAACAUCCGGAAACGGGUGCUAAUACCGCAUAGUUUUCUUGGUCGCAUGAUCGGGAAAGGAAAGACGGCCUUUGUGCUGUCGCUUAUGGAUGGACCCGCGGCGUAUUAGUUAGUUGGUGAGGUAACGGCUCACCAAGACGAUGAUACGUAGCCGACCUGAGAGGGUGAUCGGCCACAUUGGGACUGAGACACGGCCCAAACUCCUACGGGAGGCAGCAGUAGGGAAUCUUCCGCAAUGGACGAAAGUCUGACGGAGCAACGCCGCGUGAGUGAAAGAAGGUUUUCGGAUCGUAAAACUCUGUUGUCAGAGAAGAACAAGUUGGAGAGUAACUGCUCCAGCCUUGACGGUAUCUGACCAGAAAGCCACGGCUAACUACGUGCCAGCCGCCGC
rnacentral:rRNA from 1 species